GCGCACCAGUCGCGAAACCUCCGCAAUACACGAAAGUGUGACGGGGCCAUCCCGAGUGCCGUCCGCUGAGGACGGCUUUUCCCCAGUGUACACAGCUGGGGGAAUAAGGAGAGGGCAAGCCUGGUGUCAGCCGCCGCGGUAAUACCCAGCUCUCCGAGUGGUGGGGACGCUUAUUGGGCCUAAAGCAUCCGUAGCCGGCUGGGCAAGUCCUCCGUUAAAAUCCAACGAUUUAAUCGUUGGGCUGCGGGGGAUACUGUCCAGCUUGGGGGCGGGAGAGGCCGACGGUAUUCCCGGGGGUAGAGGUG
rnacentral:rRNA from 1 species